rnacentral:lncRNA from 10 species
GAUCUAGGAAAUGAUCUUGGGAGUGGGUGGAUAAAGUGGGAUAGAAGAAAAGAUGUCAACAAGGAGAUAAGAAACAGAAGGGCCAGAAUGUAGGGUGGGUUGUCUUUGUAGUUGUGAUGACAGUGGGGGUGGCAGAGAGACAGUGAGCCAGAUCCUGAACUCUUGAUGAACAGGGGCAGUGGCUGGGAGGCUAGAGAUGACUGCCGUAGCAUCAUCAUCAUGUAGAUGAGAGCGGGUAGCCAGUGGCAUCUGAAUCAAUCGUUCUUCAAGGACGUGCAGAAUUGCAGCACCAGGAAGUCCUAGUCUGUUACUCCCAGAUAUCUCCCCACACCCCGUUUCAGUCUAUUUCCCUGGUAACCUUCCAGGGUUGGAUUUAAUUGUGAAGUCUGAGUCUAAGAGGAUUGUCUAAGAGAUUUGUCU